rnacentral:lncRNA from 1 species
AUGGUUAUUCGCUUCAUAAUGCUGGGAUUUCGAUUCUCGUGAAUUUGAUUUUCAAGCUUAACCUGCGUCAACUUAAAAUAUUCAGAUAAAUUUCGAAAGCCCAUGAGAAUGAAUAUACAAGCAUGAACUUACUUACACACAAGCUCUUAAGUGAUGGACAACCAGAUAAAAGAUGUAGAAGAGGUUUUUUAGAGAUCCAUGUUUCGUUUAAGGUUAAGCGUACUAGGCUACCAAGUCCGUUGAAUAUUGGUUUAGGGUCGACAUAACAAUGUUCAAGAUGUAGGUCUGUCAAAUGAUGCAACGAGAAGACACACAAGGGUAAACGAUACGAGUUGCAACCCAAAAAGUCGAGUGUUAAUCUCUUGAGAGUAUGGUUCCUUGACAAAUGAAGUAGUAUUUGAUCAAUUUCAAAACAGGUCUCAUCCGGAUAUAUCGAAAUGGUGAACUCCUGUAUUGUAGCUUGGCGCUGUAACAAAACUUGGUGUAUAGCAUAGAAAAGUUUACACCUCAUUUCCUUCUCUCUCCUUUCACGUUCUAAUUCAGAUAUUUUCUUCCGAUUAGACAAAUGCCACUUUUCAGUUGACAUUUUCACAGUGUCCUCGAGAAACACGAGUUUAGGAAUUGUGGUCCAUUUGAACCUCCAUUCCCUUGAGAGGAUACUUGUUCUUGCUGCUUCUUCAAUAGGUAAAAGACAUAGGAUGAUUUCUAUUAUGGUUUGUGGAAGCGUAGUGAUUCUAUCCACUCGCUGAGCUCUAGACGAACGUUGAACUUUAGACAGACGUUUAGCUU